rnacentral:rRNA from 1 species
GUCUACAGCCAUGCCACCCUGAACAAGCCCGAUCCCGUCUAAUCUUGGAAGCUAAGCAAGGUUGGGCCUGGUUAGCACUUGGAUGGGAGUCCACCUAGGAAGACCAGGUGCUGUAGGCG